AUGUUCUCCUUAAUCUGCAAACCACAGCACCUACAGAUGACCCAACGCUUCAGUGGGAGAAGGGGGGGAGGUACUGGGGUUCUGGAUCAGCUACUUGCAAAUUGUGUGGGUCGCGAGUUACUUAACUUUUCUGGGCCUUUUAGUUUCCUCCACUGGAAAAUGGAGACAUCAUUCAGCUCCUAUGACUGUUCAACUGAAAACAUGUAUGUAAAAAGGUCGAUGCUUUGCGUGUGUGUGUGGGGGGUCCCAAGGGUACCAUUCAUUCACUUGGCAAGAACACCAAGGCACUGCCAGGGGCUCCAACAGUCCUCUCUCCUGGAAGUGAGCAGUGGGAUGAAUCCCCCGUUUCAAGGUCCCUUUGGAGAGGCGUACUUUCCCCUCCCACCUAUGCACACGCGCGCGCGCGCGCGCGCACACACACACACACACACACACACCCCGAGGGCACACUUCCCGCGUCCACCCGCGACUGCACAGCACAUUUGGGGGCGGGGGGGGCGCGAUGGGGCUUUCUGCCCCAGGAGUGCAGGUGAAGCAGCCCCACUGGAUAGUCUGUUGGGGUCCGAGACCCUCAGCUCUCUACUUUCAGGGGACCUGAACGAAGUGAAAGCUGCUCGGUCAUUCGAGAACUCCCGAGGGCUCCAACCGCAGUUCCCCGAGCGUGCCGGGGACCAGAUUUCAGGCGAGGAGCAGAGAAGGACGCCUAAAUAAAAACAGGAAACCCGAUUUAAAAAAAGAUGAAGCCUCACUGUGGCUGAAUUACGGGUAAGAGUAUUAAAAAGAAGGGGGGGAAAAAGAGUCCGGAAAUGCAAAGCUGGAGGCGGUUUUGCCGCCGUAACCCGGGCUCAGCCGCAGAUCCGGGGGCAGGUCUCCGCCCGCGGCUGCAGUAAACACGCGGCGAGCGGCGCCCGAGGCCCGGGGCCCCCAGGCGCGCCGGGAGGGGCCGGAGGGGGGCGCCCGGCACACUCGGCUCGGGCCGCUCCCCGCCCGGUCCCCGCUCGCCCGCGCCGCGGACGGCGCGCACCCUCUGCCCGCGCCAGGGCGGGAGCCCGGGGCCGCACAGCGAGCGGGAGCGCGGCCGGAGCGCACCCUCUGCCGGCUCGCCGGCGCUCGGGCCAGGGCGCACGCGGCCGAGCACCGCCGGGCUCCACGCCCGCCGCUGGGAGCGCAGCCCGGGCCCGCCGAGCCGGGGAACUGCCGGGCGGGCCCCGCGGGGCGCGCAGCAGCGGCGCAGGGGAGCCGUGCGCGCCCAGGUCCCGGCGGCCUCCCCGGGAGGGCGCCCCUUGCAGCGCUCGCCAGACGCGGAGACGCACCCGGCCAGGGCGCGCCGCUUGUGCGCACCCGGAGACGCCCGCGAGCCGGCCCCCGAGGUCCCCGAAGCCCCGGGUCCCGGGGCUCUCUUCCCCACCUCCCCAGACGCAGCCAGAGGCGAGCGCUUACCGGUCCCGGCGCGCUUGGCAGGGGCUGGGCGGCUCGGCCCGGCGGCCGCUAGGAGCUGUAGGGCGCUGGGCGCGAGUGAGCCUCGAGGGAGGGAGGCGGGGCGCCCGCGCUGGGGGCGCCCCGCCUGCUGACAGCCCGCACACUCCACUUCCCACUUUGUUUCCUUUUUACUUGCAACAGGAAAAACAACAGGUCCUCCUGCCGCCCGCCAGCCCCCCACCCCCCACCCCGUCCUCUCCACCCCCCCAAAUCCGCACCCCGUCUGCGGCUGGAGGAGCAGCAUCCCAGGUGUCUGGAAGCUGCAUCUUGCCCUUCUUCAAAACAAGUUUUCUUUUUAUACAAAGAAAAACAACCAAAUAAAGGUCCUAAAGCCCAUAAAACCCCCA
rnacentral:lncRNA from 12 species